rnacentral:rRNA from 1 species
UAAGCGGANGAAANNAACUANNAGGAUUCCCCUAGUAACUGCGAGUGAAGCGGNAAAAGCUCAAAUUUAAAAUCUGGUGGUCUUUGGCCGUCCGAGUUGUAAUUUAGAGAAGCGUCUUUCCGCGCUGGACCGUGCACAAGUCUCCUGGAACGGAGCGUCGUAGAGGGUGAGAAUCCCGUCUUUGGCAUGGACACACCAGGGCUUUUGCGAUGCGCUCUCGAAGAGUCGAGUUGUUUGGGAAUGCAGCUCAAAAUGGGUGGUGAACUCCAUCUAAAGCUAAAUAUUGGCGAGAGACCGAUAGCGAACAAGUACCGUGAGGGAAAGAUGAAAAGCACUUUGGAAAGAGAGUGAAACAGUACGUGAAAUUGUUGAAAGGGAAACGCUUGAAGUCAGUCGCGUCGUCCGAGACUCAGCCUCGCCUCGGCUUGGCGUACUUCUCGGCCCGACGGGUCAGCAUCAAUUUCGCCUCUCGGAUAAUGGCGAGGGAAAAGUGACACCUUUACGGUGUGUUAUAGUCUCUCGUCGCAUGCGAGGGUCGGGAUUGAGGAACUCAGCACGCGCCCUCGGGCGUCGGGGCCUUCGCCCACGAUACGUGCUUAGGAUGUUGGCGUAAUGGCUUUAAACGACC